UGCAAUCUAUGAUGAAAUUUGUUGUCAAUUGACUGAUAUCCAGUGAUUAUCAAAAACAAAUUCACCAUCUUUCGACUGAGAUUGCU